rnacentral:rRNA from 1 species
UACGUAGGGUGCAAGCGUUGUCCGGAAUUAUUGGGCGUAAAGGGCUCGUAGGCGGUUUGUCGCGUCGGGAGUGAAAUCCACUGGCUUAACUGGUGGCUUGCUUUCGAUACGGGCAGACUGGAGGUAUGCAGGGGAGAACGGAAUUCCCGGUGUAGAGGUGAAAUUCGUAGAUAUCGGGAGGAACACCGGUGGCGAAGGCGGCGAUCUGGGUAGAUACUGACGCUGAGGUGCGAAAGCGUGGGGAGCAAACAGG